AACGAACGCUGGCGGCAUGCCUAACACAUGCAAGUCGAAGGAGACCUUCGGGUCUAGUGGCGCACGGGUGCGUAACUCGUGGGAACCUGCCCUUAGGUUCGGAAUAACUCCCCGAAAGGGGUGCUAAUACCGGAUAAUGUCUUCGGACCAAAGAUUUAUCGCCUUUGGAUGGGCCCGCGUUGGAUUAGCUAGUUGGUAGGGUAAAAGCCUACCAAGGCGACGAUCCAUAGCUGGUCUGAGAGGAUGAUCAGCCACACUGGGACUGAGACACGGCCCAGACUCCUACGGGAGGCAGCAGUGGGGAAUAUUGGACAAUGGGCGAAAGCCUGAUCCAGCAAUGCCGCGUGAGUGAUGAAGGCCUUAGGGUUGUAAAGCUCUUUUACCCGGGAUGAUAAUGACAGUACCGGGAGAAUAAGCUCCGGCUAACUCCGUG
rnacentral:rRNA from 1 species